rnacentral:rRNA from 1 species
UACGUAGGGUGCGAGCGUUAAUCGGAAUUACUGGGCGUAAAGCGUGCGCAGGCGGUUAUGCAAGACAGAUGUGAAAUCCCCGGGCUCAACCUGGGAACUGCAUUUGUGACUGCAUGGCUGGAGUGCGGCAGAGGGGGAUGGAAUUCCGCGUGUAGCAGUGAAAUGCGUAGAUAUGCGGAGGAACACCGAUGGCGAAGGCAGCCCCCUGGGCUAACACUGACGCUCAGGCACGAAAGCGUGGGGAGCAAACAGG